rnacentral:lncRNA from 1 species
UUGCUCAUGAUGAGCUCAUCCAUCGUCCCCUCUUCAUGGAAGCACAUGUCGCCCGGCUCUUGUGAUCCUCCUCUUCCUCUUCCUCGUCUCUAAUUCCAAUCCGGUCUCCAUUUCGGAUCCAAAGCGGACAACAUGAUUGCCACAGUAAGUGAUCCCCAUCUCGAAUCUCAUAUCUCCUCUCCCUUUUCGUCCUCCUCGCAGCAAUCGAGUGAUCUCUGGACGCAGCGGUUUAUCGAUCUCUUCCUGGCCUUGUCGGUCUCUUUUCGGGGUGGAUUCGAUGGUUUCUUUUCUUGCUGAGGUUACAAAGCCGGAAUCGGUCGAUAAACCUCUGCAUCCGGACUUCCGCCGACAACCAUUCCUCCGUCCUCCCCCCAACCCAAAACACUCCCCCCCCAACCCCACCUUCUUCCUCCACUUGUUUUCGUCAUCUUAUAUAAUGAUUGGGCAAUGAAGAGGUGGUAGCUGUUAGGGCUAAUUGAUACGGCCGAUUCGAUGCCGAUUUCGAUCCCUUUUUUUUACUCAGAUUAUUGUCGGCAUUCUGCAGAAUUUCAAUCAACGAAUAAUGGUGCCAUCAGCAUUUAGAUCGAUUCAAAAUGGGUGACGUCUUGAGUUGUGAUGAUGGACAGAGAAAACAGUAAAUAUGUUUGAUUUAAUGUCUCUCAGUUCUUUCUUAUGCCUUCAAUUUUUCAUUGUUCUUUUGGAUUCGUUUAUCAUUUCAUUAUCUUCACCAUUUGAUCUAUCCAUAUUUUGGAUUAUUCACUGAAUAGGACGUAAAUGUUUUGUAUUAAACAGACAGCAGAGGACUACUAGAAAUCUUUAUUUACAGAAACUACCAUUAUUGGUUAAUUCGUCAAGGAUGAGAGGUCGGAAUAUACUCUGAGAUGGCUUAAACUUUGCUUUGGGAGGACUAAAUGGGGAAAAUAAGCUCAACUGGUCAAAUUAAUGUGACAGGAUGGCACAGUUUUUAUGAAGAUGAUUGAGAUAUAUUCCAUAUUUUGAUGUUUAAACAGUUAGCCUCAGAAAUAUUUUUCAUUUAAUUUAUUCCUUCUACCAAGAUUUGUUGUUCUCCAUGGAUGUGAACCUCCCUAUAUUUGUUAUGUUUGCAAUGCUUGAAGGUGAAUCUGUAUAAAGAAUUUAAACAUAAAUAUUUUUCUAACAUUUAGCCACACGAAUAUUUUUCAUUUAAUUAAUUCCUUUUACCCAGAUUCCUUGUUCUACAUGCAUGUGAACAUCUCUAUAUUUGUUAUGUUUGCAAUGCUUGAAGGUGAAUCUGUAUAAAGAAUUUAAACAUAAAUAUUCUUCUGACAUUUAGCCACAGGAAUAUUUUUCAUUUAAUUUAUUCCUUUUACCAAGAUUCCUUGUUCUACACGGAUGUGAAACCAUCUAUAUUUGUUAUGUUUGUAAUGCGUGAAGGUGAAUCUGUAUAAAGAAUUUAAACAUCAAUAUUUUUCUAGAAAAGAGCUAUAUGGUACAUGUGUUUUUUUUUUUACUGUGAGAGCAUGUGGUGUAUUUUGUUGUGUGAAUUAUACUUGCUGAAAUAUGGUGGUGGUCAUGAAUACUGAUCUUUGGAUUAUUUAAUUGCGUGCAUGACAUAGCUACCUGUUUAUAACAUGUGUUCUGUUGGAUGUGUUUCAAAUGAUUGACAAGGUUUUAUAUUUCAUUCUUAUCUGCAAAAACAUAAAUUGCAUACUUUGUGAAUUAGAAUACAAUGCAUAUGGAAAACAAAGCAGUCAAGUAAUCUGCAUGCUGAAUGUGUGCCUGACUCUGUUUUUUGGGUAGAAGGGUCUAAAUUCUUAAUGCAUUACGAUAGACAAGGCGAGUGAGAGAAGAGAAACUUGCCAGGAACCAUUUUGAGAGAUAUAACUACAUUUAUGUAUUUCCAACCUCAUUUUCCUUGAUGUAUAAAUAGCCCUGAUAUCGUGGAUACCUUGUGUAAAAAUGAUGAUAUUUAAUUAUCAUCUUUCUUGUUUUCUUUCCUAAUGACCUUACUACCUUCUCUACUUGUUGGAUAAUUAAUAAGACAUAGUAGCUUCCCAGGGCAUAGCUGACCAUGCAUAAAAACCAACAUACCUUUGUAUUUGUAUUCAAAUCAAUUGGCAGGAUAAUAGACUUGUCUAGUUGAUUGAAAUUAUGAUAGCAGUUUAUUUUCUCUUUUUAAGGUAAAAUGUUGUUGCUAUUGCUGUGUGUCAUCAAUUAAAUGCAAGAAUAUCUUCUUGCUUUUCUUUUCUCCUCCUGUAUACUUGUGUGAAUUUUGGUAACUGUCCUAUGGAGCACAAUCUUUUUGAGGCCUUCAUGCCAUGUUAUCUUUUGUAACAUUUCAAAAGAAGUGAGAGUGUGACCAAUUAAACAGAUCGUCCGGUUCUUUCAGAUUAUUAUUCAUGCUUUAUUUUGUUAAAUCUUGAGUACUUCCUAAUUGAGGACUUUUAUUAUGUCAUUCUCAAGUGCCUGAUUUAUGUUAUUUUCUUGUUUGUCUUAGUAACUAUGAUAAAAUAGUUUGCUUCCUCUAUUAGGUCAGACUCUAUUGUUAAUGUCAUAUAGUUUCAUGUAAAGAAUGGGUCGCCUAGUGGAUGAGACCUCGAUCAAUUUAGCUAGUGUUGGAUAUGUAUGUGAAAUAUAUUAUUGAAGUUGCUCAUAUCGGAGAACACAAAAGUUACUUCAUUAGUUUUACUGAAUUUGUUCCACUUAGUCCUUGAGAUGUGUGGUUUUUUUUUUCUUUUUUUGUGCUGCCUUCUUGCAACCUUAAUAUCAACAUUCUGCAUGUUUUAGUUGGUUAGUAAAUAAAGGGUCUGCAUGAUCUUGGAACCUUAAGGUGUUAAAGGCUGUAAGAAGAUCUUUUUCCAAUGUAUGAAAACAUAUAAAAAAAAUGAUGAACCAAUUAACUUGACUAUACAAACCCCAUUUUCUUGGCCAAAAUUUAUCUUUGCAACCAUUAUAAGUUUCAGUUAUGCUCAUUCAGCGCUUGAUUUCACUCAACUUCCUUCAAAAUGAUUUGAAGAGUAGACACACAGUGUUCUACCCCAUGCUCAGAGGCUAGUAGUAUUUAGGGACCUUUUUUGCUGAACCACUUCAAUUCUAGGCCAUGAUGAAAUUACUGUUUUAUCAGCAAAGAACACACUGUGAGUGCAAUCUGAUGCUCUUUCAAGUUCAAACUCUGGUUAUCGGAGGAUCUUGUUCUCAUUUAGCCUAUUUACUGUCAGUAAAGUAUUACACCUUUCAUCUUGAGUUCAAGGGCUCAAUGAAGCCAAGUUAUGGUUAAUGUUGCAGAACUUUAUACAGUGUCUCCUUUCACUGCAUAUGCACCACCUGCAUCAUAUUUUCUUCAUUGUUCGCCCGAAUUGGUGUACUGCAAUAGUUUAUAUGCACCAAAUUUGAUGUUAUGAACGUCUCUCCUCCAUAUAUAUUCCAUAAAUUUGUUGAGCUACCAAUGUAGAACAUCGUUCAUAGUUUCUUACAGCUUGUAGCUUCGUCUUCAAACAAUCAAAGCACCUUCGCUGACGUAUGAUGCAGCUUUCUUCAUGUAGAACAG